CAAUUUUUUAAUUUAUAUGGGCACGUCUCCCGUAUGCACCCGGACAGGUGGGCGCGUUUAAUUUCGGAGUGGCUACCGACUGGUCAGCGUAAUAGAGGCC